AAAUUUGAGAACUAGAUUGGAUCCUGGAACAAGAAAAGAAGAUCACUAGAAAAACUGGUGAAUUUCAUAUAAGGUCUCUGCAAUCAUGUGUCUAUAAGGACAGGAUGGGCAGCUGAGGCUUUAUUAUAAUUUCUGCGAUCGUCCACCUUCAGGAGGAGUUUUCUUUCUAAGGUUCCCAGUAUUCUGUGAGUACUCUCCCAGCAGACCCAUUCCAGCAUUUCACCAGACAUGCCUAGACAGGUCUACACCUCAAGAGUGAAUGCAGCCUUCAUGAAAGCACCUCUACCAGAGGAGGGAGAAAAGAAAUGUUAUUGGAUUCAUUGUAUUCAUUAACCUUCGUAAUGUAUAUGUGAAAGGAGGGUGCAGUAGAAUAACGGCUGUGGCCCUGGACAUAAAAUUAAACUG